AAGCCGGAUAAUCGCGAGAAGCUUUGCUUUUUGAGGAAAGUCCGGACUUCAUAGGAACAAGGUGACGGCUAACGGCCGCCCGGGGCAACCCGAGGGACAGUGCCACAGAAAAUAAACCGCCUGUUUUGAGAACAGGUAAGGAUGAAACGGCGAGGUAAGAGCUCACCGCCCGACUCGUAAGAGAUCGGGGCACGGUAAACCCCACCUGAAGCAAGACCAAGAAAGCGGCAUCGGUAUAUCCGAAAGGAAUCGUUCCUAUUCCGCCCAAUAGGUAGGUCGCCAGAGCGGUUUGGUAACAAAACGCCUAGACGAAUGAUUAUCCUCGACAAAAUCCGGCUUACAGGCUUUCU
rnacentral:RNase_P_RNA from 2 species